UGUCCUGUGGUGUAAUUGGCAACACGUCUGACUCUGGAUCAGAAGAGUUCAGGUUCGAGCCCUGACAGGACAAC
rnacentral:tRNA from 1 species